AACUUCCUCGCAUGUGCCGGCCUAAGGGUGAGGCGUGUGUUCAGUUGGCAGGAGCCACCUACAUGGAAAUUCACCAGGCCGGAGGAGGGAUCCACUUCACCGUGGAGCGCACGCGCCAAGCCUCAGAGGAGGAGCUGUUCCGCUCCUUCCAGCAACGGCUCCAGUGCAUGAUGAGGGCUGGCACCACGCUGGUGGAGUGCAAGAGUGGAUAUGGCCUCGACCUGGAGACCGAGCUCAAGAUGCUGCGUGUGAUUGAGCGUGCCCGGCGGGAGCUGGACAUCAGCAUCUCGGCUACCUACUGCGGGGCUCAUUCAGUGCCUAAAGGAAAAACUGCUACUGAAGCUGCUGAUGACAUCAUCAAUAACCACCUCCCAAAGCUGAAGGAACUUGGCAGAAAUGGGGAAAUACACGUGGACAAUAUCGACGUAUUUUGUGAGAAAGGUGUCUUUGAUCUCGAUUCCACCAGAAGGAUUCUUCAACGUGGAAAAGAUAUAGGGUUACAGAUUAACUUCCAUGGGGAUGAACUCCACCUGAUGAA
rnacentral:sRNA from 1 species